UUCCAGACUCCUACGGGAGGCAGCAGUGGGGAAUAUUGCGCAAUGGACGAAAGUCUGACGCAGCGACGCCGCGUGAGGGAUGAAGGUUUUCGGAUCGUAAACCUCUGUCAGGAGGGAAGAAAGCGCAUGGCGCCAAUCAGCCAUGCGUUGACGGUACCUCCAAAGGAAGCGCCGGCUAAUUCCGUGCCAGCAGCCGCGGUAAUACGGAAGGUCCGGGCGUUAUCCGGAUUUAUUGGGUUUAAAGGGAGCGUAGGCCGGUCUUUAAGCGUGCCGUGAAAUUUUGUGGCUCAACCAUGAGAGUGCGGCGCGAACUGGAGACCUUGAGUGCGCGGAAGGCAGGCGGAAUUCGUGGUGUAGCGGUGAAAUGCUUAGAUAUCACGAAGAACCCCGAUUGCGAAGGCAGCCUGCCGCAGCGUUACUGACGCUGAAGCUCGAAAGCGCGGGUAUCGAACAGGAUUAGAUACCCCAGUA
rnacentral:rRNA from 1 species